rnacentral:lncRNA from 1 species
GGUGUCUGCAGGGCACUGGGUCCUGCAUGGCAGUGGGCAAAGCUAAUGAGGGUGAGGCCCUCGGGGGCGGCAGCUCAGCUCUACCAGGUGGGACGGGGGACACAGUCAGGUGUCCUGUCCCGCCACCUAGGGACCCAGGACCUGGGUGCUUACGUGACAUCUCCAGGUUUGGGUGUGCUGUUCCCUAAUCCAGCAACUCACCAGCGGUCAGAUCCAGGCCCCAGGCCCCAGUGUGCAGCCUCUUGGCUCGAAAGCUGUAACCCAGGGGUCGUAGUAACUGGCCUCUGUGUCCGGCCUUGACCCUCGGUCUGUGCCUGGUGCCAGCCUCGUGCAUGUCUGCACCCGCCUGGCCUUGUUCGCUUAGGGGUGAGGGUGUGGGAGCAGAAGGCUCACCCACGGGGCUGCUGGGCCCCGACGGAACGGUCAGCCUGCCUGUCUUCCUGCACGAACAGCCGCGUUCCCAGCUGCCCCCGCUGCUGGGCUGGGUGGGCAUCUGAUGGGCACCGGGGGUCACAGGUCAGGCUCAUUUCCUUCCCACGCGGCUGACAGCACACCCAGGCCCUGCCCCAGAGAGUCACGGUGGGCUUCCUGGAGGAGGAGGAGGGGCGCGGGUGUACCCCGAAGCAGGCCUGGAGCAGGAAGGGACCAGAGGCUCUGCAGGGCAGGUGGCGGAGGUGGCACAGAGGCCGAGAGACCCUGGGCCUUGACUGCUGUGAAGGGUUUAUUCUGAAGGUGGCUGCUCGGCACCAGGCGCACGGCUGGCGCCAAGGCUUGGAGGUGGGGACGCUGGGGUUGACGUGGGGAGAGGCAGGGACCAGCCGGGAUCCCCUGGGGCAGCGAGACCCAUCAGGGAGUAGCCCUCUGCCCCUGCCGAGAACUCUGACUCUGCUGAUCCUUACUCGUGCUGCGUGGACUGGACAGCACCCCGCCCCUCCCGCCCCUCCGAGCUGCCUGGCACUCCAGAGGGAGCAGGGCCCUCGGACUUCACUCCCUCCUGGGGGAGGGUGGUCCUGGGACCAGUAAUUAUAGCUCAGCAGGAAGUUCCUGCUGUGGCCAGGAGGUUAAAGAUCCCACGUUGUCUCUGCAGAGGCAGGAGUUCGAUCCCCAGCCCGUCGCAGUGGGUUAAGACUUUGAGUAGCCGCAGUUGGGACGCAGGUUGCGGCUGCGGCUCAGGUGGCUCGUCCAUCCCUGGCCCGGGAACUUCCAUGCGCCGUGGGUGUGGCCCAAAAGGAAGGAGAAAGCCCAGAAGAUGCUAAUCCCCUGAAAGAAAGCCCAGCACAGAGCAGGGGGAGGGGUGGGGAGGGCGGGAGACGCGGGAAGGAUGCCCGGAACCUGCUGUUGAGCUUCCUCUGCAAGCCUCCUGCCACUGGGCCCCGAGCACUUAGGUAUUUCCUGUCAUGUGCACUUUACGGAUGAAGAAGCCGAGGCUUGGAGGAAGCAGGCCCCUGUGGGUCAAGGCCGCCAGGACCCGUAAGAAGCCAGGCUGGGAUGACUGUGGGCCUGGCAGGACGGGCUUCCCCACAGGGUUCCCGGCAUCGGGGGUCCCGUUGCGGUGACCGGAGGGAGCGGCUGUGAUGGGAGGCAGGGGCGCCCUCCUUGGGCACCUGGGCAGCUGCGCGGGGCUCACAUCAUCUCGGGCCUGGCCUGACCCAGGAGGGGACCGACCUGGGGGACCUCGUCCUCCCUCCCCCCCCCGCUUCAUCCUGUGGUCCCGCUGAGUCUCUCGUGUUGGGGGGCCUGGCUGUCACCCCCAGCUGACAGAGGAGCACCCCAGCGGUCUCCGCUUCCGACGUCCUGCCCCCACCCCCAGCCCCCACCGCCUCUGAGCAGACUGCUCUCCUCUGUGCUCCUGCGCGGGGCUGUCGCUGGCUGAGGCCCUUAGAUGGGCGCUGUUUGGCCAGCACAGGGUUUAAAAAAUAACAUGGGAUUUCGUAUAAACAUCCCACUUCGGGCUUCUCUUCUAGCUGGAGGGUCGUAGUGCCGCCCGCAGGCCCGUCAGCCCCCGCAGGUGGAGCUGAGACGGGGCCGCCUGCGUCUCUGCGGUCCCCGCUCUGUCCGGUUUGUCCCCUGGCACCCCCACUCGCACCGGGGUUCCCGUCCCGGCACCCCAGCUUGCAUUGAUCUUGGGCAGAUUUGAAAUAUCUUUGAAACGCAUCUGGAAGCUGCCGGAACUGAGAAGCUGAUUCAAACUGGGUUUUGAAGGUGUUUUCCAGCCAUGCUCCAGACGCCCCCCAAAAAUAAAAUGAAAGGAAGGGUGCACAGGUGGGGACCCGCCUGGGGAGGAGGAGAGGUGCCGGGCAGCUGCCCCGCGGUCAGGGCCCCAGGGAGAGGAGACAGGACAUGCCACAGCCCCCUGUCCUCCACGCCCUGCCCAGGGCCCAGCGCCCGCCCGUCCGCAUCUCAGAUACUGUAAAAUUGGCCGCUUUUCCCUGCGCAUUUAAAAGACGCCUUUUCGUUAAUAUGCGGGAGGGAUUUCGAUGUUCUCGUGCAUAACCUUUUGCUGGAGCGACAGCGUGCAAUGAAAGGGUCCCAGGAGAGGCCGUGUAAUUUGGGCUGCGAGGGACGAGAAUACCAAUGCAGGGCGUCUCCAGAAAGCUGGGAGCCCUGGGGUCCCCGCCCCUCGUGCGCUGCUGGGGAGGGGUACCUAGAGUGUCCGGGACAAGGGCUGGGGGCACCUUUUCUGGGCAGGAGCUGGCCCGUGCGGGGUGGGGGGGUUGGGCCCGUCUGCCCUUGGCCCCGAAGGAUCAGAAAAGGGGGCUUGGGAGGUUCCAGUUAAUUGAGGCUGAGUCUAAAUCGGGAGGCUUAAUAAAGGGUAAUUAUCCUCCCAGGGGAGCCCCCCCCCGCCAGCCUGGAGGCGCUGAGAACGCCCGCCCGGGUCCCAGGGCCGCCUCCUCCCUGCCCGUGGCCAGUCGAGGGCCUGGAAGCGUGUUAGCUGCCUGCCUGUGUGUCUGCAUGUGGGGGCACGCGCGGGCACGUGCCCAAAUGCCACACCCUCUCCAGAGAGCAGCGCCGACCUGUGUGGACGGAGGCGACUUUGCCAAGUUGCGGCUCCACCCCGCGAGGAGCUUUCUGUCGUCGCGAGAGGACCCAGAAGAGCCAGGGCCGCUCCCGAGGGAGGGAGCUCCGUGGGUGUGCCAGCCGGUCGCCCCGUGUGCGCUCCUCUAUGCCGUGGGCCCCUCCGUGGUCCCCAGAGUCCUGGGCCCGGGGAUUUCCCCAGGGGACACAGGGUGGUUAGGAGGCCGCCCCUCAGUGUCCCCGGACCCGGCUCAGAGUCGGGGAGCGUGGAGGAGGGUGAGAGCGUGUGUUCCGUGCACGCAGGCGGCUGCGGAGCUGCGGGUGCUGGGGUGGCCUGGACGCCGUGCAUGUGUGGCUCUCGGGGAGGUGGGGAGGGGGCGUUUCUGUGCCCUGCGUCCGCCCCGACGGAGGGUGUGACCGGGCCCGGUGGACAUGUUUGUGGUGUGGGCAUGUCUGGGGGCCACGCCUUGGCUCUCCCUGGGCCAACCCAACCUUCCUGGGCCAGGCCUCCCCGCCCAGGCCUCCCACUGCCCCUGGCCCUGGCUCGGACCCCGGAGGUGCCCAUCACCCCGACGCCAGCCAUCCGUUUCCCCUUCCAGGGACCUCGACCCCUGCCAGCCCAGGUCUUAGUUCAUCCUUGCUCCUGGGACAAGAGUGGGCCCCGCAGAUGGCCGGAGGUCCCCAGGGGACCGUAGGGACAAGGGAAGAGGAGGGAGAGGAGCCCGCCUGGCCACUGCUCAGCUUCUCCCCGAGAAAUCCCACACGAGGUGGAUUCCCGUGUUUCUGUGGUGUCUGGGCCAGAUGAGCAGGCCUCUGCGGACACACCGUGGGCAUCACUAGACGUGAGAUGCAAGGUUUCCAGAGACGGAGUGCCGUUCGAAAUGAGCCGUUCUGGGAGCUCCCUUCGUGGCUCAGUGGAAACGGAUCCGACUAGGAACCAUGAGGUUGCGGGCUCGAUCCCUGGCCUCGCUCAGGGGGUUAAGGAGUCAGCAUUGCCAUGAGCUGUGGUGUAGGUCGCAGACGCGGCUCGGAUCUGGUGUGGCUGUGGCCGUGGUAUAGACUGGCGGCUACAGCUACGAUUAGACCUCUAGCCUGGGAACCUCCCUAUGCCACGGGAGCAGCCCUAAAAAG